GACGAACGCUGGCGGCGUGCUUAACACAUGCAAGUCGAACGGAAAGGCCCUUCGGGGUACUCGAGUGGCGAACGGGUGAGUAACACGUGGGUGAUCUGCCCUGCACUUUGGGAUAAGCCUGGGAAACUGGGUCUAAUACCGAAUAGGACCACGCGCUUCAUGGUGUGUGGUGGAAAGCUUUUGCGGUGUGGGAUGGGCCCGCGGCCUAUCAGCUUGUUGGUGGGGUAAUGGCCUACCAAGGCGACGACGGGUAGCCGGCCUGAGAGGGUGACCGGCCACACUGGGACUGAGAUACGGCCCAGACUCCUACGGGAGGCAGCAGUGGGGAAUAUUGCACAAUGGGCGCAAGCCUGAUGCAGCGACGCCGCGUGAGGGAUGACGGCCUUCGGGUUGUAAACCUCUUUCAAUAGGGACGAAGCGCAAGUGACGGUACCUAUAGAAGAAGCACCGGCCAACUACGUGCCAGCAGCCGCGGUAAUACGUAGGGUGCGAGCGUUGUCCGGAAUUACUGGGCGUAAAGAGCUCGUAGGUGGUUUGUCGCGUUGUUCGUGAAAACUCACAGCUUAACUGUGGGCGUGCGGGCGAUACGGGCAGACUAGAGCACUGCAGGGGAGACUGGAAUUCCUGGUGUAGCGGUGGAAUGCGCAGAUAUCAGGAGGAACACCGGUGGCGAAGGCGGGUCUCUGGGCAGUAACUGACGCUGAGGAGCGAAAGCGUGGGGAGCGAACAGGAUUAGAUACCCUGGUAGUCCACGCCGUAAACGGUGGGUACUAGGUGUGGGUUCCUUCCUUGGGAUCCGUGCCGUAGCUAACGCAUUAAGUACCCCGCCUGGGGAGUACGGCCGCAAGGCUAAAACUCAAAGGAAUUGACGGGGGCCCGCACAAGCGGCGGAGCAUGUGGAUUAAUUCGAUGCAACGCGAAGAACCUUACCUGGGUUUGACAUGCACAGGACGCCGGCAGAGAUGUCGGUUCCCUUGUGGCCUGUGUGCAGGUGGUGCAUGGCUGUCGUCAGCUCGUGUCGUGAGAUGUUGGGUUAAGUCCCGCAACGAGCGCAACCCUUGUCCUAUGUUGCCAGCGGGUUAUGCCGGGGACUCGUAGGAGACUGCCGGGGUCAACUCGGAGGAAGGUGGGGAUGACGUCAAGUCAUCAUGCCCCUUAUGUCCAGGGCUUCACACAUGCUACAAUGGCCGGUACAAAGGGCUGCGAUGCCGUGAGGUGGAGCGAAUCCUUUCAAAGCCGGUCUCAGUUCGGAUCGGGGUCUGCAACUCGACCCCGUGAAGUCGGAGUCGCUAGUAAUCGCAGAUCAGCAACGCUGCGGUGAAUACGUUCCCGGGCCU
rnacentral:rRNA from 1 species